GGAGUGAGUAUGAAAGCUAAAGGGCAGAGCCAGGCAGGCAAUGGUCAAAGUAAAACUGGGCCAUUCAUUCAGGCCUACCUAGGUGUAUACAUGUACCCCUAUGAGAGCACAUAGUGUGUGUGUGUGUGUGUGUGUGUGUGUGUGUGUGUGUGUGUGUACAGGCGUGUGCACAUUCAUCCUCCUCGAUUCUAUGGAUAUGCACAUAAGCAUACAGAUGUGGAGCGCAUGAACAUGGGGCCACCUAAGGCCAUCCGCCAGUGCCAGAUGGUUUGCAUCCAGAAAUGAAGCAGCAGACCCCAUUUCUGUGAGCAGCCUCCAGGUUUCUCACUUGCUCCGUGCAGCCUUCCUGCCUCUUCCAUAGAUAGGGAAGGUAUUCAGAGAUGGGUGGGAGAGGAGGGAGGGGCCAGAGAGAAACAGGCUCCCUGGGAGGGAGGGAGGGAGGGAGGGAGGGAGGGAGGGAGGGACAGACCGAUGGACGGACGGACGGCAUGGCUCUUCCCAUGCCUCUGCCUGCCUCUCUAUCUCUCCCAUCUGGCCUUUCCCCCUAACCCUUGGCUCUCCUCACCUUGGGCACCACAGGAUGCCCAAGGAGCCAAGUGUCUCCCAGGCCUUGGGCUCAGGAUCAGACAGGAGAAAGGUCAACAGGGCCCAAAUGCUCAGGGCUUGCUCUGGAAGCCAUGAGUGCCACUCCCCACCCCACCCCCACCCCCACUUGGCUUUUUGUGGGAGCAGGCAAAGGAUGACAGCUCAGUCCUAGCCCCUUCUUCAACAGCAUCUCGGUGCAGGGCUUGUCCGCCCAGAGCCUCCUUUCCCGAAGAUGGGAAAUAAGCUGAGAAUGGCCAAAUAGCUGAGGCCAGCCAAGAUGACCAGACUGGUGUGGAAGUAGGUACCAGCCUUUUUCAGGGACUGUCUCCUGCUGCUCCUAUUUUUUUCCCCUUGGGAAGAGGGGGUGGUAUGGUUGUAAAGUGGAAGAGAAAAAGCAUGGGGUUGCACGCCUACAAUUCCAGCAGUAAGGAACUGAGGCAGGAGGCUAUCCAAUUCCAGGCUCCAUAUUGACCCCAUUUCAAGGACAGAGGAUCUUGUGAUUGUCUGGUGUUUGGGGAGCAGCCGUCUUUGACCAUCAAGAUCUGUGUCCUCAACAGCCACCUGCUAAAACAGUGGAGUGGGCCGGACCCGAGGUGAUCUAGAAUCCUCUAUGAUCCUGCCACUCGGAAGCACCUGCUGAGGGCUUUGGAGUCCACUCACAGACUUCAGUCACAACCCACUGUAGAGUCCUUGGAACUCAGUACAAAGUGGCUCCUUAAAGCUUAAGGCCGAGAAUGUCUGAUUAGGAACUCAAGUGAUGGUGGGGAGGGCUUUUAAGAAUCCAUCCACACACACCCCAGGGGGGGUGUCUCCGUGCUGCCUUAGGAGGCAGAGGAGAUCUUUCUGAAGAGGAGUACCAUUCGAGAAUCCAGCUAAGCCCUGUGACCCCACUGCACAGUUGGCGAGGCUCUGGAGGGAUGCCUGGUUCAUAAUCCCUUGCAACCCAGCCCCUCCCUCUGGGAGGCUGGAAGCAGUCAGCCAGAGGGUGAGGACAGGAGGCCCUGCAGCUACCCUGGGUCCCAGGGUCCCAGAGUAGUCCCCGUCCCCUCCCCUCGUUAGUGCCUCAGGCACAUUCCUGGCCUCUGAAGCUCAGUCACCUCUCACUUGGCCUCCCUCAAAGGAACAUGCUCCACAUUGAUGCUGUUAUAUCAACAAGAGACUCAGAUUCAGGGCUGUGUCCACUGUGUGAGACCUGGGCAAACAGAUGGAGACAGGUACCUAGGGGAUGUUGCCGCCUCCCACCUCUUUUCCCCUCUCAGGAAUUUCCUCCAAGGGUAAAAAUGUGCUUCUCAUUGCUCCCUGCAUGCCAGGAGCCUGGCCUGGGCUCAGGUAUGCCCGUGUCAACGCCCUGCCAAGGCCGGGCCAGACCAGAGCAUGACCUCCCGUGAUUCUAACAGGAUCUGGGCCACCCCCACCCACUCAGUCCUUGGAUUCUACACCAGCAGUGGUCCCUGCUGUGUGUAUAGAAUUCAUACACAGUGGGUGGAGAAGAAGAGAGAGGCCAAGGGUCUGGGCUCUACUGUAAACCGUCUCUGGCCUUGGCUUCCCAAUGGAACCACCAGAGGUGAAUCAAGGUUGCCAUGCCAUUCUCUAAGGAAGACCCCAGCCAUGAGCUGAGGAGACUUGGAAGGACAACAGACCACAGGAGCAGACAAGAGUCUCAGGCACCUGGCCUUCAAGACCCCUUUCUUCAUAGGAUGAGCAUCCGGCUGAGCCCUCACAUCCAUCACCACACCACCCUGUUCUGGAGAUGCCAACCCUCUGAUGGGAGAAGAGUCAGAAACCAGGGUGGAGGAGGAGGCUGGUGAAGGACCUGGCUUGCUCCCAACCCAAAUUAUAGAAUCCCUUCUGACCCACCUUGGGGUUCUCACAAACCCACACCUCCUUACAACAUAUGCACAGAUUGUCCCUACGUGCUGAUUUAGAGGUUGGGAGCAGGAGGGAACCCUUUUGCUGCUUUUCCGUGUUACUGGCCUAUUGGCAGGCAACAAGACAUGGGACUUGCAUACGGUCAGCAGAUGGAAACCCCGACCUGUAGCUUCCAGGAUCACCAUGAAGCCUGAGAUACACACACCCAGAUCGGUAGCAGAUGAGGGAACGAAUCAAGUCGAUGUACCAUCCUUGACAUAAAGAAUGAGGACGGUUGUGGCCAGCUCCAAAGACAGUAUUCUAUCUGAUGCUUUCCAUCUUAAAGGGGUGGCCUUCGGGGGGUGCCCUCCUUCCUGGGAUAAACUUCCUUAGUGCACACUCAUGUCAGUCUCACAGUCUGAAGCUCAGGCUCAAAGGGCUGACGUGCCGUGCUUAACAUCCUGUGGGAAGAACCUGAGCCCAGGUCAAGCUGUCCUAGAACUCUUCACUCCCUGUCCCUCUUUGGAUAGUACUAGGCUAGGACAAGGCUGCUGGCAGGCUGCUGAAGACACUGGGUCUUUGUCAUCCCUCCAAGGAGAUGCUGCCCCUUUCUGAGACAGCCUUGGAAGCUGAUAGGACACUAGCCAGGGCACACUUGGUUUGUUACAGUUGACCCUUCCUCCCUGAUUCAGUAGAGAUGAGGAACUGUCAGAUCUCCUGAACACAAAGCCGGAUUACAUUGACCUGUAUCCAAAUCCAAGUUCUGGGGCUCAGUGGGUAGGAUGCUUGCCUGGUGUGCACUGAAGCCUGAGUUCAAUUCUCAGUGCUGGUGAAACUAGGCUCAGUGGUGCGUGCUUGUAAGCCCUCGCCUGGGAUCCCUGAGCCUGUCUCAGAGGAACAAAACAACAGUGACACCCGAGUCCUGCCAAUCUUCCUAGCUGUGGAUCCCUCAAACCUCUGGAUGUCCCUGUAUCUUUGACCAUACAAGGAUAGAUGAUCAAGGGACAACUGUCUCCCCGGUUGUGGAGUGGUGCAGGAGGCAAUGCAUGCCGGGAAGGCUCACUGCCAUCGCCGGCUCAACAUGAAUUAGCAGCGUGCCUCUGGGUGCCAAACACUAUGCUCACCACUCACAAAUAUAAUUAAAAUUUAAUGGAAGUGGAGUGCAAAGCAGAGAAGAGCCAAGAAGAGCGAGAGAACAGUCAGUCCUUCCCAGCCAAGCUCUUUGGAGCCGACCCUAGAGAUGAGGUGUAAUGGCUUUCCCUUCUCAAGUGCCCAUAACCAUGAGGCCCUGCAAGCUGCGUUCCAAGACCCAUGCACAAGUCUGACCCAGCUCUGCAGGAGUGAAUUCAGAUAUGAAAACACUGAAGAGCAGGGCUCAUAAAAAAGCCUAAGACUGCCCUGGGCAGAGAACUUGGAAGCCACGAAGCCAGCCUCGGGCCACAACCUAACUACUCCAUCGUGAAUCCGCCCCUCCCUGGGAGAAGAGUGGCGGGCGUUAGAAAAGACCUACAGGCCCAGGAUGUGAAAUCCCGGUGCCCACUGGAGGGAAGGAUUACUCUGCUAGCAAAGCCUGCCUCUGAUAAUCCUGGUGCUCCCAGAGAGGAUGCUAAGCGGAAGGCCCUUCUCACGCACCGAGCCGGUCCCAGCAACACCGUAAAGCCUCACCCAACUCCUCCAUCUUCCCUGCUCAUCUGUCCACUGUUCGAUGGCACAGCCCCUCCUCCAUGUCCCUGAUGCCCUGGAUCCUGUUCCCUGAGCACCGCUCACCCUCUUGCUUGUCCCUCUCUCACCCAGCCAGACAGGUGGCCCUACACCAUCUGUGAUCACUUACGAGCCAGAGUCAAACUCAACCUGGCAGUCCCUUAGGGACUCCUCAAAAAUUGUCCCUUUUUCUCUCUCAAGAGCUGAUGUUUUCAUAUUCUUCAGAAGAGCUGACCCAAUGGGGAUGGAUACAGAGAUCUGUGCUAUAGCGUCUGACUAGAAGCCCCCCAGCUCUCAGCUCUCUCUCUCUCCUUUUUUUUUUUUUUUUUUUUUUUUUUUUGGUUUUUCAAGACAGGGUCUCUCGGAAUAGCCCUGGCUGUCCUGGAACUCACCUUGUAGACCAGGCUGGCCUUGAACUCAGAAAUCUACCUGCCUCUGCCUCCCAAGUGCUGGGAUUAAAAGCAUGUGCCACCACCGCCUGGCUGCCCCCCCCCCCCCCCCCGGCUCUUAGGUGGGGCCAGAAGCAUAUGCAGCACAGACAGGGUCCCUGGGCACAGUCUGUGUGCCAUACAACUCCACGAGGCACUGCUCUCACUCACUGUGGCGUGGCUAUAGUUAUGCAAGGUGGUGGCUCUGAGCUAGCAGCCUCCUUUCUCUGCCUUUGAGGAGAAGCUGCCAACAGAUUCCCUGAGGCCGAGCCCUCCUGUCUUGCCUGCCCUGUCCCAUUUCUCUGCCAGACUCCAGCCUCCUGCAGCCAGGGCUCCCCCAAAACUGGGCUUUAGAGAAAAAUCCGAGUUUUCAGAGCACGAAUCCUCCCAUCUCUGCCACUGUGUUCUCUGUGAAUCCUGCAGGCGCUGGUCCUGCGGUUUCAAUGCCAGUGCCUUUCUUCUGAUGGGGAUGGUGGUGGCACGGAUACAGGGAGACAGGUGGGCAGCCCUAAGCCGGGGGUCAAGCCAGUCAAGCAUUUAUUGGCACCCACUGUGCUGGCUGCUGGAAGCCUGGGUGGAUGAAGAGGAGAAGAACCUUUGAUUUUGAAACCCUCACCGUUCUGAUGAAGCGGUCGGUACUUUCCUCCUCUGACCUUCACUAGUCCCAGGCAGCUCAAGCAGCCAGUCAGGGAGUCAGAGGGAGGCCCAGACCGGUGACACAUGGAUUCCUUCCAGAGGAUCAGCUUGCUGCUGCCCCCUCAUUGCUGGACUGCGGACAGUGGCAGGAGACUGCGCUAAUCUGGGCUGGGCCUGCAGGUGCCCGAGGAAGGCCUUUGGUAGGGCAAAGAUGGAGAACAAGGGCCCACUAGGUGGUCCUGGGCCUGGAUGCCUGGUAUUGCUCCUUCCCCUUACUAAAGAAAUUACAGUCGCUUUGACUUGGAAAACAAAAACAUCCGAACCUCUUCCUCUUCCCAUGGUAUGUCUGGGUGCCUUAUGUAUGUUUACAAAAUGAUACCUAAACAGAUACCCCCAGCCGGUUUCUAGGCGGAAAAAAACGGUAAAUACCAUUUCUUCGUGCUCUAACAGUAUGCGUUCACGCGUUUCCCCAGCCCCCUGGGUCACUGACUGGGUAUCUCCUCCCUCCCUCUGGGUAACAACCAGCACCUUGCGAUAUUAAAACAAGCUCUCUCUUUAUUCUGAAACAGAAUGAAACUGUUGAAUAGAAAAACAUCUAAAAAAAAAAAAAACUUGUGGAUGCUCGAAGUUUAAAAAGAACAGUCAUGGUGUGGCUUAUACUAGGUGGGUCAAAAUCAAGAGUCUGGGGAAUGAGGAAUAAGAACCCAACGUAGAGGAGGCUUUCCGAGCGAGGUCAGGGCGUCAGCUAGCGCCAGAUCGAGGGGCGCUCUACAUUUCAGGGCCUCACCCCCACCCCAUCGCUGAGGUGCCCAGGGCGCAGCCACGCCCUCCCUUCCUCACCCCUGCCCACGCCACCAUCUGCGAGGCGGCCGUGGCUGCCCUGCGGGAGGGAACGCGCCUCCUAUUCCCUCCCUGAUCUACAGGUGCGGGUAAACAGAGCUGCGGCGCCGGCCGGUCCGCAGCCUCCUCCCCGCCCCCACCCGCAAAGCUUUGCCCAAGGUUAAGUCGGCUUGCGGCGGGCUUCUGCCAGGGACCCCAAACCAGCUCCUGGGGGCUCUCGCUUCUGCUUCUCAUGCCCACCGGACCAAGGAUGGGGUCCCCUUGCUUCACCGCCGAGCUUGGUCCAGGAAAACCAGCCUACCUGGCCUGGCUCUGGCGACCACCCUGAGAGAGAGAGAGGAGAGCGCCUCGGGCAUUUUCACUGUGCACCCCCCCCCCCGCGCGCCCCAUUAUGGACACGCCUUCCACCAUCUCUUGGAGGUUGGGGGAACCCUUCCCCAAACUCAACGCCCUGGCCACCGCUCAGUCCUUGAGCCUUCUGUCCCCUUCUUCCGAAGCCCAAGGAGGGGUCGGAGGACACCCUUGCGGCCGCUACCUUUCCUGCCGGCCCCACCCAGAUCCGCUCCCUCUGCCAAGAGCAGUGUGUGCAGUCUGCAGCAUUCACCCGGCAGGGGCCUAGCCCGGGGACCGAUGGCAAGGAGGUGGGGGUGGGGGGACAGGCGGGGCCCAGCAGCAGCCAGGGCCCGGGUCCCCACAUCCCGCACCCCUGCUCCGCGCCACGCCACAAGGCAGACCCCGUCGCGAGCGUGCGCCCCUAGAGCAUGUUCUCGUCUAGGACACUCCGGGAGGCUGCGGGAACUGAAGGUCCCAAAGCUGGUGGCCACGGGAACACCGGAGGGGCUCGGGGCUGGGACUCUCGGUGUUGUUUACACUUGGCGUAGUUAGCCUGGCAGGCCCGAGAGGCUCCGGCUCCGACACGCGGCGGUGGCUCCCAGCGCGCGGGGUCUCUGCUCCCGGCCUCCCCACCCACAACCCGCGCCCGGCCCGGCCCUCCGCGCCCCGCCGCUCACGUCUCGGAAGCGGUUCCAGUGCUUAAUCUUGCCGCUGUACUGCGAGAUGGACGACAGCCAUUGCUCGUCCUCCAUGAAAUUGCCGGGGGUCUCGCCCUCCUUGAGCCCCUUGGCGUCGCCUUCAGCCAAGGCGACCACGGCGAGGAGCAGCAGCGGCAGAGCCAGCCGCCCGGAGCCUGGAGCGCGCAUCGUGGUCUGGGCUUGGACCUGGGGGGGUCUGGACUUCAGCAGGAUUUGAUGUCCUUCCCUCCACCGCGCCACUGGCGAAGCGCUGCGGUCCUCCUCAGCCCUCCUCCUGCUGUCUGACUCCAGUGACUGACGGAGGGUGGGUCGUGGCUGAAAUGUGACCUGGUUAGCAGAUGCACUUGUCUGAAAAAGCCCAGCGCUGGACGCGGAGAGGGAGAGAGAUUCAGAGAGGCUGCGCCAGCGGGGGCUGUGUCUGUAACUGUAGCAUCAGCAUCACGUUUGACAUCAUCAUACCUGGUUAAAAAAAAAAAAAAAAAAAAAAAAAAA